UCAGAGAGAGAGAGAGAGAGAGGGGGGGGGGAGAUGUACGAGGGGUCCCCUCCUCUCUCCCCAACCCUAAAGUUAAUAAAUGCUCUUACAAUGCUUAGAAACUCUCACAAAGCCUGUCUGCGAUCUGCAUGCUGGAAAUGAUGGCGUGACAAUAUUCAAUUUGCAUCACCAUGGACCACCCUUUCGUCUUGUAUUUUGUUUUCUCAUACUCUUAUAGCUUUCAAAAGCUAUUUCAGCCACCUAUUAUCCAUCAAUUAUAUCCAAUAAAAAUUGAUAAUUUCCCCACGGAUUCCUCUGCUUCACCCCGCCAUCUAUUUAUACUCUCUUCUUCCCCUCUUCUCUAGGUACCCUUUUUGCAGAAAAUUAUGAUGAAGACCAUAUAUAAUCUGGAGGUCUUCCUUUUCUUUCUUUCUUUACCCUACUAGCUAGCUAGGAAGUGCAGAUUUUCUUGUAGUGCACCACCAUCAGUUAAAGCUGCCAGCGUGAUCUAAACAUUCCUCCUUUGUUGAGGAAAGAUCAGAUCAUGUGGUAGCUUCACCUGUUGUUGGUGGCACUAAAAACCCUAAUUCAGCUCAACCCUAAUUUUGUUUCCUGCUCUCUCUCUCUCUCUCUCUCUACAUGCUUCCAUGUGUCAUUUUAAAAGCCCUCCUCAACAAAUCCAGAAAAAGGGCUUUCGUGGAGGUGGUAUGAUAUUGUGUGUUGCAGAGAGUUUUCAUUAUCCACUGCACCUAUAGACUUUCGUCAUCUCCCCUCUUGGCAUACGAAUCGAAAAUAGGGUUUUCUUUCCAAUUCAUGCCAAGAACUGGUCGAGAAGCCCAUCCAAGGUAUUGAGUUGACUCAGUGCCGAAGAGUGACUUACACUUUGCUCAUUUCUUGCAACAUUUUCAUGUUUUCCCUCCUUUUAUAUUGUUCAGUUACUAACCCUUAGAUUGUGUAUAUAUAUAUCUACAACCUCAUUUUCAGUAAAGAGGGCUGAAUCUUGCCAAUCUAGCUUUUAGAAAUUAUAUAUGCACAUAUAUCACUAUAUAUAUGUGUAUAUAUAUAUAUAUAUAUAUAUAUGAUAGAGAGAGGGGGUUGAGGUGGCGACUUGGGGAUAUCUUGGUUUUUUUUUUUGGGCAAGUAAAACUGUCAUUCAAAGAACUAGCAGCAGGAGAGUGUUGAACGUAGAACAAAUUUCCCUUAGGCCAUAUUAAUUUUGAAAAUAUUAAGAUGAAGGAUUUUGAGACCGGAAAAGAUUAUUAAAGGUACAAUUCUCAACAGGGAUCCUCGACACUCAAAUUUUGAACAGAAAAAUUACUAGCUUGAUCUACACACAUAAUUGAUCAGCAAUUCCAUGAGAUACUUCUGGAGGCUGUAAUGUAGAUGAAAUGUUAGAAGUUCUCGUCCAAGUGGAUUAGCAGAUCUGAUGUUGUUGUUAAUUAGUUAAUGAAAUUGCUGAAUUAUGUGUGUAGAUCAAGCUAGUAAUUUUUCUGUUCAAAAUUUGAGUGUCGAGGAUCCCUGUUGAGAAAUGUACCUCUAUGUAUCUCGUGUUACAAAAAAAAAAGAAAAGAAAAGAAAAAAGAAAUGAUAUAUAUAUAUAUAUAUGUAAGAUAUAUAUGCUGCCUUAAAAAAUCUGGUGCAUUAGGAUCAACUUUUAAGUUCAUUAAAUGAUCUGGCCUCAUCUUUCUCCAAUGCUGUUUAUUCCAGCCGUGAUGUUUUCCUGACAAAAUAACUUUUAAUUUCUUGAGAGAUUUAGUAAAUCUUGGAUGACCAUUUAUAUAUCCGUGGAACAACAACUUUGUCUUCAUGUGAAGAUAACACAUGCAGUUGAACAUAUCUAGCAGAUUUGCUGUGCCCAUAAUACCAUGAUCGCAAUUAUCUGGCCUGCCACUUUAACGUACAAAUCUUCUUUUGCCUUUACCAUCCCAUCUGUGAUUCAAUCUCAGUACACCUUUUUUGUCUUCCUUCUCUGAAGAAGGAAACUUUUUGUCUUUUGGUUUAAAUCUUCUUCUUUGGGUAGUUGGCAUGGAAGAAAUCUAUCCAUAUAUUCUUGAGUGGCAUUGAAGCAGUUCAAUAUGGUUUCUUUUGAAAGCCAGUUUCGUUUGCAAAAUUGUUAAGAUUUACCUAGUUUAUUUAUAUAAGUAGCGUCCAAGAUAAUUAGAGAUCAGUAAACAUAAUUAGCUUAUGCUUGCUCAAUCAGUGGGGUGGAGAACAAGACAAGCAACCAUUUCACUUAUGGAAAGCCUUCAGAAAUACACAAGCACUCAGUGCCAGGAUUCCACAUUGCUUUUGUUAGGUGGGGAAAAAUUUUCAAACUUUCUACGAAAGCUUCAUGUGGGAAACAUUCUAAAUAUAUAGCUUUCGUUUUUCCUCAGUCCACUACGAGAUAUCCAAAAUGUCAGUUAGCUUGAUUCUCUUUAACUUUCUCCAACCUUUUUGCUUUUCACUUUCUCUGAUGGAUGAAACAAAGAAGGUAAUCAAAGGGUGAAAUUGCCAGUGUGUUCUCUUUCACGGCAGUUCAGUUCCCUUGAAGAAGACCCUUACCUGAUUAGUUACUAGCUCUGCGAGUUGGCAUAACCACGGCAUUUGGUGUCCUUUAAAAGACCUCCCCCUAAAGGUUGAAAGGGAGGUAUCGUGUAUAUCAACACUUCUUCACUUUUUCUCUCCCUAUUCAACUAGGAACAAUAUCUGUGCAGGUCGAUCUUGGUCAAGCUCGAGUGUGUGUUGCAGUUUCUUUGCAAGUUGUGGCCCAUCACGGUCGUCUUUUUCCCUAAUUAAUCUAGUUGUGGAAGCUAAUUAGUUUAGCUUUCUUUUUCUUGCGUUUGGCUUCCAAUGUUGUAUCUUUUCUUAAAUUAAAUCCUCAUCUAUAUGUUAUUUAUGUAUUGGAAGGAAAAUGCUAUUUGUACAUAAGCAUCCUUACAGAAUGCUUAUAGGGAUGAUAUAUCGCGAUAUCAAAAUAUUGUGAUAUUUCGCAAUA